rnacentral:tRNA from 1 species
GUCCUUGUAGCUCAGUGGAUAGAGCGUCUGGUUCCGGUCCAGAAGGCCGCAGGUCCGAUUCCUGCCAAGGACACCA